GCAGCAGUGGCGUUGCAAGGGGGGUGCGGGGGGUGCGGGCCGCACCGGGUGACACCAGUCUGAUGGGGUGUCACCUGCCCCCACCGGCCGCCGGACUGACUUACUGAAUGUGUGUUCUGCACUGAGCUGAUGGAG